CACAAUGGACAUCCAGCUUAGCUUCCUGGCCUAUCUUUCCACGACCCAGACGGUUCUCUGCCAAGCAAGAGUAAUUCCCAGCAUGCCACAGGGAGACUUUAGGGAUGCGGAGCUUCUCUUGGGUGUCUCCAGGUAUAUGUUUCCUGUUGUGAUACCAGAUGUAGUUUGUUGCACUUGGACUGGCCAGUGACUCACAAAUCAGCUCUACUGACUGUCCCUCUUCAGCGGGGGAAGGGUAGAUGUGAACCCUGGAGGGUUCUGGAGCAUCUGAAAGAAUGUAUGGCCACAGGACAGCUUCAAGGAAACUCACAGUGCACCGUGAGUUCCACUUCUUCCGACUCUCCUGGGCCUAUGUCGUUGGAAGCCUGGCACCGGUAUUUCCCUCUCAUGUCCUUGGUCACUGAAUGCAGAAUUAGCUUGGACAUCUGUUGUUCCUGUUCCAGUUCCUGAUCCUCUAGGGGGCGCCCAUCCUUGAACCAAGACACCGCCACGGUCCUGAGUUUCGGGUU
ensembl:antisense Gm29439 predicted gene 29439